rnacentral:rRNA from 1 species
GGUUGAUCCUGCCAGUAGUCAUAUGCUUGUCUCAAAGAUUAAGCCAUGCAUGUCUAAGUAUAAGCAAUUUAUACAGUGAAACUGCGAAUGGCUCAUUAAAUCAGUUAUCGUUUAUUUGAUAGUACCUUUACUACUUGGAUAACCGUGGUAAUUCUAGAGCUAAUACAUGCUAAAAAUCCCGACUGUUUGGAAGGGAUGUAUUUAUUAGAUAAAAAAUCAAUGCUUUUCGGAGCUCUUUGAUGAUUCAUAAUAACUUUUCGAAUCGCAUGGCCUUGUGCUGGCGAUGGUUCAUU